ensembl:snoRNA
CACCCUCCUUUCACUUUGCCAAUAAGACCCUUUUUGUCUUCAUUGGUCAUUCAAGGUGGGUAAAGUAUGUGUCCUUUUUAUAACCCAAGCAAAUGGUGGUCAUUUGUCUUGGAUCCUGUCAGAGGAAACAAUU